rnacentral:lncRNA from 1 species
GGGAGCUUCCAAAAAGGCAACAAUGUCAAAGAAAAAGGUUGAACAGGAAGACAAGUUAAAACUACACAGUGAAACCCAAAGACUUAUUAGAGGUAGAGUUUUUUAUGAUGUUUGUUAAAUAUAGCUUUUGCAAAGAGAUUUAAUAAGAAUCAUAUUUCUCCGCAAGAUAGUUCAAAUUACAAUACUAAAUUUAAAAACACACAGCAGUCAUUUUUUCAUUUCUUCUAUAAAGUUAUAUUUCUUCUAGAUAACUGUUUUUAUUAUUAUGAAAAUACCAGCAAAUUUGGAGAAAUAGAAAACUUUGUAUUCAUAGCUCUCCAAUGUUUGAUAUCAUCUGUUUAAAUCAGGUGAAGGAUGCUGACUCCUUGGAGCCUUAGAUAUUCAAUUUGCCUUUAUUUCAGUUAGAAUUUUCAUAUUCAUUUAAAUUAAAUGCAUAAUUUUUUUUUCAGAAUCAAGAGUAAAUAUACCAUACCAUCAACCUGAACCUAAACGUUUACAAGACUUUCUAGCAAGAGCUUCUAAUAAGCAACAACAAUAUAAGAAUUUACGAGGGACCAGGGACUCAUUGUAUGUGUAC